CGGGUGCUGUGACCUGUGGAAUGAGCAGGGCUACCUGAAAGUCUGCAGUUUAAAAUUCAGUGCUGCUGUUAAGUUUGGGGGCACGAAGCAAAAUCAUGGAAGAAAAUGAUAAAAUUAUUAGUUAAAUGAGAAGCUCAGCUGGAUUUCAUCACCAGAGCAUCUUGGUGGAGGCUGCAGAAUUUGGCUUUAACAGUGCAGCAAGUUGGGAGGUACUUGCCUAUACAAAAUUAGAGUCCAGCUGACUUCAUUGGAGUCUGCGUGGGCAGCCACUGAGCCACACACUUUUAAUCCUGGAAGGAUUCACUCCCAGACAAGAAGAAAAAAGGUGAAAAUCUGAGAUCAUCAAGGUUUUGGGCAGAUCAGAUAAAACCGACAAUAAUUUGUGCCAAAACAAAUUGAAGAACAGCUUUAGUUUUCUU